CCUACGGGAGGCAGCAGUGAGGAAUAUUGGUCAAUGGACGAGAGUCUGAACCAGCCAAGUAGCGUGAAGGAUGACUGCCCUAUGGGUUGUAAACUUCUUUUAUAAAGGAAUAAAACGAGGCACGUGUGCCUUUUUGCAUGUACUUUAUGAAUAAGGAUCGGCUAACUCCGUGCCAGCAGCCGCGGUAAUACGGUGGAUCCGAACGUUAUCCGGAUUUAUUGGGUUUAAAGGGAGCGUUGAUUGGUUGUUAAGUCAGUUGUGAAAGUUUGCGGCUCAAACGUAAAAUUGCAAUUGAUACUGGCAGUCUAGAGUACAGUAGAGGUAAGCGGAAUUCGAGGUGUAGCGGUGAAAUGCUUAGAUAUCACGAAGAACCCCGAUUGCGAAGGCAGCUUACUAAGCUGUGACUGACAUUGAUGCUCGAAAGUGUGGGUAUCAAACAGGAUUAGAUACCCGGGUAGUC
rnacentral:rRNA from 1 species